GUCUUAGCGGCGCAGCUAACGCACUAAGUUGACCGCCUGGGGAGUACGGCCGCAAGGUUAAAACUCAAAUGAAUUGACGGGGGCCCGCACAAGCGGUGGAGCAUGUGGUUUAACUCGACGCAACGCGAAGAACCUUACCUGGCCUUGACAUGCAGAGAACUUUCCAGAGAUGGAUUGGUGCCUUCGGGAACUCUGACACAGGUGCUGCAUGGCCGUCGUCAGCUCGUGUCGUGAGAUGUUGGGUUAAGUCCCGUAACGAGCGCAACCCCUAUCCCUAGUUGCUAGCAGUUCGGCUGAGAACUCUAGGGAGACUGCCGGUGACAAACCGGAGGAAGGUGGGGAUGACGUCAGGUCAUCAUGGCCCUUACGGCCAGGGCUACACACGUGCUACAAUGGUGCGUACAGAGGGCUGCAAACCCGCGAGGGGGAGCUAAUCUCACAAAACGCAUCGUAGUCCGGAUCGGAGUCUGCAACUCGACUCCGUGAAGUCGGAAUCGCUAGUAAUCGCGAAUCAGAAUGUCGCGGUGAAUACGUUCCCGGGCCUUGUACACACCGCCCGUCACACCAUGGGAGUGGAUUGCACCAGAAGUGGUUAGUCUAACCUUCGGGAGGA
rnacentral:rRNA from 1 species